AGUGAACGCUGGCGGUAGGCCUAACACAUGCAAGUCGAACGGCAGCACAGUAAGAGCUUGCUCUUACGGGUGGCGAGUGGCGGACGGGUGAGGAAUACAUCGGAAUCUACUUUUUCGUGGGGGAUAACGUAGGGAAACUUACGCUAAUACCGCAUACGACCUACGGGCGAAAGCAGGGGAUCUUCGGACCUUGCGCGAUUGAAUGAGCCGAUGUCGGAUUAGCUAGUUGGCGGGGUAAAGGCCCACCAAGGCGACGAUCCGUAGCUGGUCUGAGAGGAUGAUCAGCCACACUGGAACUGAGACACGGUCCAUACUCCUACGGGAGGCAGCAGUGGGGAAUAUUGGACAAAGGGCGCAAGCCUGAUCCAGCAAUACCGCGUGGGUGAAGAAGGCCUUCUGGUUGUAAAGCCCUUUUGUUGGGAAAGAAAAGCAGCAGGUUAAUACCCCGCUGUUCUGACGGUACCCAAAGAAUAAGCACCGGCUAACUUCGUG
rnacentral:rRNA from 1 species